GUUCUUAUAGUUGAAUACAACGGUGGUUUUUCAAGUCAUUGGUCUAAGUUAGAGUCUUAGUAAGAAUA
rnacentral:tRNA from 2 species